GCAGGCGCUCGGACGCAGUGGACAGCCACCUGCUGGACCUGUGCAUCCUGGUGUUCCGGGCCACGUUCGGCAGCGGCGGCCACCUCAGCCUGGGCCGCCUCCUGGCCCACAGUAAGCGCGCGGUCAAGAAGUUUGUCAGCUGCGACGUCAUGCUGGAGCCUGGCGAGUACGCCGUGGUGUGCUGCGCCUUCAACCACUGGGGGCCGCCCCUGCUGGGCACCCCUGCCCCCCAGGGUACGUGGCCCCUACCCCAGGCUCAUGCCCCAGGCCCACAGGGAGGGCUGCGGUUCACACGCCCCUCCUUGUAGCCUCCAGCCCGUCAGCAGGGGUCCCGAGAGCCUCCCCAGAGCCGCCGGGCCACGUGCUGGCUGUGUACAGCUCGAGGCUGGUCAUGGUGGAGCCCGUGGAAGCCCAGCCGACCACGCUGGCCGACGCCAUCAUCCUGCUCACCGAGAGCCGCGGAGAGCGGCACGAGGGCCGUGAGGGCAUGACCUGCUACUACCUGACACACGGUUGGGCGGGGCUCAUCGUGGUGGUGGAGAACCGACACCCCAAGGCCUACCUGCACGUGCAGUGUGACUGCACCGACAGCUUCAACGUGGUGUCCACACGCGGCAGCCUGCGCACCCAGGAUAGCGUGCCACCCCUGCACAGGCAGGUCCUGGUGAUCUUGUCCCAGCUAGAGGGCAACGCCGGCUUCUCUAUCACCCACCGCCUGGCACAUCGCAAGGCAGCCCAGGCCUUCCUCAGUGACUGGACAGCCUCCAAGGGGACCCACAGCCCCCCGCUCACGCCAGAGGUCGCCGGUCUGCAUGGGCCCCGACCGCUGUGACCACCACGCCUGGGGCAGGGGCUGUGCACAGACGGUUCCCCCACCCCCACACGCACUUUAUGAGGGAGACCCCGACAGAGGACGCUUGAGCCAGAAUCUCAGGACCCUGCCCAGGGAGCUGCCAGCCCAGGGCUCAGCUUCCCAUGGGCCCCCCGCCCCCCUCCCUCCCCUCCCUGAACCCCACAGUCCGCCUGGCCAGGCCUCCCGGCCGCCACGCAGAAUACCUCGAACCAGGCGGGCUGUGAACCAGCCCCGCUCACCUGCCAGCCCCAACACCCGACGGGGGCCGAGGCCAGGCUGCCCCUCCCUGUGGGCUCAGGGUCUCCUGCGGGGGAGGCAGCCAGGAGCUCUGUCCACAAAACCAAAUCUGGGUGUCAGAGGCCAAGACCCUGGGGUGGGAUCAGGGACCACCCCUCACGGGGCAUAAGGUCAGUUUUCCCCCAGAGCCCGGGUCCCUGUCCCCCACAGGGCAGGCGGGGUCCCUGGAGCCCUGGUGUGGAGCGGCGAGUCCCGGGGCGGUGCCUGUCUCAGAAGAAGGGGCCCUUGGCCAGCCCCCCAGUGACACUAUGCAAAUCCUGGAGUGCCCGCCAGGAUCGAAGCCAUGACUGGGUGCAGGCGGGCGCCAGGCCCGCUGUGGGUGGGCACCAGUUCUCAGCACCGCUCACUGCUGCCGGGCACACUGGGAUCAGCAGGCUCCUCAGCCAACCCUGUCCCUCGGCCCGGCCCUGCCAGAGAGGGACCCCAGCACAUCGUGGGCAUGGGCAGGGCUCAGCCGCUCCCACCUCCCCACAGAAGCCCAGGAGUGUGUGGACGUCUGAGCCCAGCUUUCUGCGUCCCCACCCGGCCCUCCUGGCCCCUCACCCCCGGCAGCGGGCCGGCCUCGCCCCCACUCCCCCUCCUACCCCGGCAGGGGCUUCCGGGGCCUUUUCACCUGGAGAAACAUUCCCACUCCCCUUUGGCCUCCCUGUACUCUGAGCUGUGAAUAUUUUUAACCCUGUAAAUAUGGCCAGCUCUUGUGACACAGAGACUAUUUUAUCAACUGUCAGCCCCGUUUCUUUACCAUAGGAUUCUCCACAGUGGUUUCCGACUCAGGCUCCAAUGGACCAAAUAAAAGCGUUUUGUUUUGUAA
rnacentral:sRNA from 1 species